AAUGAACAUUGGGCGGCGUACGUGGGGCUAUGCACAAUUCUGGAAUAUAUUCCACGACAAGAACCUUGAUGAUUGGAUCAUGCAGAUUGAUCCAAUGAUCGAUGAUGGAGAGGAUGCUAAAUUAUAUAUGCGACUAGCCAUACGAAUCUUAAUGCACAUUGUCAAUCUCAUUGCCUAUAUAUAGUCCUUCAUAUCCACUGCCAUUUUACCUAUUCAAUUCCCAGAAAAAGAAAAAGAAAAUCUAGAUAGUAUAUAUAAAUAUGUAGCUGAUACAAGUUAUAAAGUUUUGUAUAUAUCUAUAUCGAACGAGAAAGAAGAAAGGUCCUACAUGAGGAUAAAGCGCCUUGUUUCGUAGCCAAGGAUGACUUGCCUGUAGCCUCAAGAGGAGUCUUUUACAAAUCAAAGCAAAAUUUAAAGUGGUGGUCCAUAUAUAGAAAUCAUACAUUCUUUAUAUAUUAGAAAAAUGGCAUUAAUUCUAUUCUAUAUAGAUUUGUACGUAUGUAUAGUUUUGACAUUUAGGCUUAAGAAAGACUCCUUAUCCGGUAUUCAGGCAGUCUCCUUGGCUAACAAGACAGGCUCUUAUCUCUCAUGCUGGACCUCUAUCUUCUUCUUCAACUAGCGCGCUCUCCGCAGCUGCUCAACCUAUAGUUUUCUUUGGAUUAUUAGCUUCUCAGAGAAAUUCAUAACAAAGGAGGGUAAUUCAGAUGGCUCAUACCCUUCGGUGAAAUUGUGCAAAAGAAUCAACAUUAUGGUCCAGAUUGGUAAUCGAACUUAAAUACCUACGAAUGUCUUGACUAGCAGAGGAAUUAUGUUAUUGUGAUGCAGGGUAAUUCAGAUGGCUCAUACACUUCGGAGAAAAUUGUGCAAAAGAAUCAACAUUAUGGUCCAGAUUGGUAAUCGAACUUGCCCAAGAUUAUGUUUAAAAAAGGAAGAGAAAACAAAAAUUUUUUCCUCAUAAAAAUAAUUAUAUUAUGUUAGACGAAAAAUAUACAUGAAUAUAAGAAAAAAGCACACAUUUAGCAAAGUGCACGGAGACAUUUCAUUAGAGCAGGAGAGUAUUUUGAUAAUUUGAUCAUAAGAAUACCCGAACAAUAAACAUGUCAUAUACAUGAAUAUAGUUCUUUACAGUAAUUUAAAAUAUAUAUAUAUAUAUAUAUAUAUACCAGCAAUCUUAUGGAUC